rnacentral:lncRNA from 1 species
AUGUUACAGGGCGGUGCGGGUCUUCAUCCUCCAUGUUACAGGGCGGUGCGGAUCUUCAUCCUCAAUGUUACAGGGCGGUGCCAGUCUUCACCCUCCAUGUUACAGGGCGGUGCCAGUCUUCACCCUCCAUGUUAUAGGGCGGUGCCGGUCUUCACCCUCCAUGUUACAGGGCGGUGCGGGUCUUCACCCUUCAUGUUACAGGGCGGUGCCAGUCUUCACCCUCCAUGUUACAGGGAUACAGGGCGGUGCCGGUCUUCACCCUCCAUGUUACAGGGCGGUGCCGGUCUUCACCCUCCAUGUUACAGGGCGGUGCCGGUCUUCACCCUCCAUGUUACAGGGCGGUGCCGGUCUUCACCCUCCAUGUUACAGGGCGGUGCCGGUCUUCACCCUCCAUGUUACAGGGCGGUGCCGGUCUUCACCCUCCAUGUUACAGGGCGGUGCCGGUCUUCACCCUCCAUGUUACAGGGCGGUGCCGGUCUUCAUCCUCCAUGUUACAGGGAUACAGGGCGGUGCCGGUCUUCACCCUCCAUGUUACAGGGAUACAGGGCGGUGCGGGUCUUCACCCUCCAUGUUACAGGGAUACAGGGCGGUGCGGGUCUUCACCCUCCAUGUUACAGGGAUACAGGGCGGUGCAGGUCUUCACCCUCCAUGUUACAGGGAUACAGGGCGGUGCGGUUCUUCACCCUCCAUGUUACAGGGAUACAGGGCGGUGCGGUUCUUCACCCUCCAUGUUACAGGGAUACAGGGCGGUGCAGGUCUUCACCCUCCAUGUUACAGGGAUACAGGGCGGUGCAGGUCUUCACCCUCCAUGUUACAGGGAUACAGGGCGGUGCAGGUCUUCACCCUCCAUGUUACAGGGAUACAGGGCGGUGCGGUUCUUCACCCUCCAUGUUACAGGGAUACAGGGCGGUGCAGGUCUUCACCCUCCAUGUUACAGGGAUACAGGGCGGUGCAGGUCUUCACCCUCCAUGUUACAGGGAUACAGGGCGGUGCAGGUCUUCACCCUCCAUGUUACAGGGAUACAGGGCGGUGCAGGUCUUCACCCUCCAUGUUACAGGGAUACAGGGCGGUGCAGGUCUUCACCCUCCAUGUUACAGGGAUACAGGGCGGUGCAGGUCUUCACCCUCCAUGUUACAGGGAUACAGGGCGGUGCAGGUCUUCACGCUCCAUGUUACAGGGCGGUCCUGGUCUUUAUAUUCCAUAUUAAAGAGCGAUGUGGGAUUUUAUUUCUUUUAUUUAGUGGCCACUUACGGUGGGUGUCUUUUAGGGCACAAACAUCUUGUUGCUUGCGGCUUUCAGUGGACACCUCCAUGGGUUAUUUAA